rnacentral:rRNA from 1 species
CACCGCGGUUAUACGAGAGGCCCAAGUUGACAGACACUCGGCGUAAAGAGUGGUUAAUAACAACUUAAACUAAAGCCGAACGCUCUCAGAACUGUUAUACGUACUCGAGAGUAAGAAGCCCCACCACGAAAGUGGCUUUAUCUAAUUGACCCCACGAAAGCUGCGAAA